GACGGAGGGUGCAAGCGUUGCUCGGAAUGAUUGGGCGUAAAGGGUAGGUAGGUGGUCUCAUUUGUCUGGGGUGAAAGCCUUGAGCUUAACUCAAGAAGUGCCCCAGAAACGGUGAGACUGGAGUCCUGGAGAGGGUCGUGGAAUUCCCGGUGUAGCGGUGAAAUGCGUAGAGAUCGGGAGGAACACCAGCGGCGAAGGCGGCGACCUGGACAAGUACUGACACUCAAGUGCGAAAGCGUGGGGAGCAAACAGG
rnacentral:rRNA from 1 species